UCGGUCCUGCUACCGGUACAAUCCCGAUCUCCAGUCCCUCAACCUUAGCGAACUCACUGACAAGUAUGGCGGGCUGUGAUGCUUCUAAAGAGAGCCACAAGCAAAAGAGGGAGGUCUCCCUCAAGGUACGGGCAAUGAAAGAGGCUAUUGCCAUUGCCAGACACCUCAACGAGACUUGGUAGAAGUACCGAGCUUCCCUCCUCGACCUCAAGAACAGCUAGUCUCUGAAGUAGAGGUCGUCGCCUCUCCACCUCGGCAAAUUGAAUGUCCGCCUCCUCCGAUCUCUUCCAAUGUGGAAGGGGAAUCCUCGGGUCUUACGGUUAGGACAAUUUCCUGGGUCGCUUAACUCCUGAUCCAAUC
rnacentral:misc_RNA from 1 species